GACGAACGCUGGCGGCGUGCUUAACACAUGCAAGUCGAACGGAAAGGCCCUGCUUUUGUGGGGUGCUCGAGUGGCGAACGGGUGAGUAACACGUGAGUAACCUGCCCUUGACUUUGGGAUAACUUCAGGAAACUGGGGCUAAUACCGGAUAGGAGCUCCUGCUGCAUGGUGGGGGUUGGAAAGUUUCGGCGGUUGGGGAUGGAUUCGCGGCUUAUCAGCUUGUUGGUGGGGUAGUGGCUUACCAAGGCUUUGACGGGUAGCCGGCCUGAGAGGGUGACCGGCGACAUUGGGACUGAGAUACGGCCCAGACGCCUACGGGAGGCAGCAGUGGGGAAUAUUGCACAAUGGGCGGAAGCCUGAUGCAGCAACGCCGCGUGCGGGAUGACGGCCUUCGGGUUGUAAACCGCUUUCGCCUGUGACGAAGCGUGAGUGACGGUAAUGGGUAAAGAGGCACCGGCUAACUACGUG
rnacentral:rRNA from 1 species